rnacentral:rRNA from 1 species
AUGAGCAGCAACAGCAAAACUCAGCCUCGGAGAGUCUUUUUUUCCCAAGGAGCACCACCACCACCACCACAACACCAAGCUCACAACAGCAAGUCCACAGAGAGAAAAAAAAUCUCUGUAAAGUACACAAGCGGUCCAGCCAAGGCUCUUCCUGUUCCAGAACGAGCAGUCCAGCAGGCAACCACUCUUUCUUCCUCUGCCGCAGCUCCAAGAAGCAGCCGAAAAGCACCAGCAGCUCAGCAAGCUCCCAGGAACAGCACAAGGCAGCAGCAGCUGCUGCAGUUCCUCCUCUGUUCAGCAGCACCAACAGCAGCAGCUCCCCGCCUCAGCCUGACUCGCACGCAGCCCAAAUCCGCUGCCGCCUUCUUCCUCCUCCUCCUCUUCUUCCCGCCGCAGCCGCCUGCACAGCCUGCAGCAGCCCUCCUCGGCCGCGUUGCAGCUCCUCGAGCCCAGCCCAGCCGCCGCCGCGCGCACCACAGCAGACCCGCCGCCUCACGCACGCACGAGCCUCCUUUCUCGCCUGACCCUGCUGGGCCCCACCGCCGCCUCUCCAGCGAGGGACUACGCCGCCACCUUCGUCGCCUGGCUCGAUACCAUGUUGAAUCGGGAGAUGGGUACCUUCACACAGCGCCUCCCCUCCUGUCUUGUUGCCUGCGUGAGUGUGUGUCUUGGAUGUGGCGGCUCUCUCUGGGGCAGGGGGAAGAGGGGCUCCUCUUCUAG